rnacentral:rRNA from 1 species
CCUGCGGGAGGCUGCAGUGGGGAAUAUUGGACAAUGGGGGGAACCCUGAUCCAGCCAUGCCGCGUGUGUGAAGAAGGCCCUCGGGUUGUAAAGCACUUUCAGUGAGGAAGAACGCCUGGUGGUUAAUACCCAUCAGGAAAGACAUCACUCACAGAAGAAGCACCGGCUAACUCCGUGCCAGCAGCCGCGGUAAUACGGAGGGUGCGAGCGUUAAUCGGAAUUACUGGGCGUAAAGCGCGCGUAGGUGGCUUGAUAAGCCGGUUGUGAAAGCCCCGGGCUCAACCUGGGAACGGCAUCCGGAACUGUCAAGCUAGAGUGCAGGAGAGGAAGGUAGAAUUCCCGGUGUAGCGGUGAAAUGCGUAGAGAUCGGGAGGAAUACCAGUGGCGAAGGCGGCCUUCUGGACUGACACUGACACUGAGGUGCGAAAGCGUGGGUAGCAAACAGGAUUAGAUACCCUAGUAGUC